CGCUGGCGGCGUGCCUAAUACAUGCAAGUCGAGCGGAGUUGAUGAGGUGCUUGCACCUCUGAUGCUUAGCGGCGGACGGGUGAGUAACACGUAGGUAACCUGCCUGUGAGACUGGGAUAACUACCGGAAACGGUAGCUAAUACCGGAUAAUUUAUUUCUUCUCCUGGGGAGAUAAUGAAAGACGGAGCAAUCUGUCACUUACAGAUGGGCCUGCGGCGCAUUAGCUAGUUGGUGAGGUAACGGCUCACCAAGGCGACGAUGCGUAGCCGACCUGAGAGGGUGAACGGCCACA
rnacentral:rRNA from 1 species